AACGUCUAAAGAGCGCGCGACCAAUCACAGAGCGCCAGCGCGAUCUUACACUCAACGGCCAAUCAGCGCGCGGCAUUUGCCCCUAUAAAGAUAGGCGCUUUCCCCCUCUACGCUCACUAUCCCCUUGGGCGCCGUUGAGUGAAGGCCUGCGCUGCUGCGAAAAAUGUUUUUGCACUACAACUGGCGCUACAUCUUGUUCUACUAUUGAAACGUUUCUGGAUGACCGAAGAUUCUUUUUCCUAAUCUAUUCUUCGACUAAUUGUGACAUUGCGGCGGACCGACGAUUUUCUUUCCUAAUAAGAAAAACGUUUUUCCUAAGAAGAACUGCAACGUACGGCAGUACAGGGCUACGGGCGCCGUCUUGCCCUCAACGGCCAAUCAGCGCGCGGCAUUUUCUGCUAUAAAAGAAGUCGCUUACCCCCUCCAGGCUCAGUAUAGUUUGGGCAAUGUUGAGAGUAGUACUACGUCACUAGAAGAAUUUUUUCUAAUUGCAAAUAUGAAGACUUCGCACUGCUUUCGUCCGUGCUAUUAAAUCAACGCAAGUGUUUUGUGACAAAUGAAUUGUACCCGGCUACGAUAAGGAUUCAACCAGGAGUUCCUGGAGCCGGUAGAGGACGCAGUCAGCCCGUUCACGGCAAGCUUCGGGGAAGAUUCACCAGGAGGCGACGGCUACCAAUGACAUAUUUCGCAACAUUUCCGGCUAACAAAUGAUGAUUUUGUUGGAAACAUUAUAUUAUAUCUUUCUUUUUGUGGGUGGAAGCAUUUGGAAUCGAAUGGACAUCGCUGACGUUGAAUCUUCCAGUUUCCAUAGUAUACAUACUACGUACAUUUUAUAGAAGGUGGAAAAAAAUAUGAGACUCGCAGUGCAACAAUGACGCAAGGAAAAAAUCGAAAGGAGGACACUGAGGAUGACAGGUUCAAAACGGAGGAAAGGAAAAUAAAGGUCUGGAGGGGCGUGUGUUGGAGCUUUUGUGAAUCAGGUAAAGUCCGGUUUAAAGUUUGGCUUUCUGCUUAUAUAUGUAUGUAUAUAUAUACUUUAAAGAGGGUAAAGGUGUCAGGGGUCGGUAGAGGUGAACCUGGGUCAAUGGUUUUAUAACUAGGUCUAUCCUCGUAGG